GAUGAACGCUAGCGGCAGGCCUAACACAUGCAAGUCGAGGGAGAGGUUAUCUUCGGGUAACCAAAACCGGCGCACGGGUGCGUAACGCGUAUACAAUCUGCCUUUCACAUAGGGAUAGCCCGAAGAAAUUUGGAUUAAUACCUAAUGGUAUAUAAGAGCGGCAUCGUUUUUAUAUUAAAGCUACGGUGGUGAAAGAUGAGUAUGCGUUCUAUUAGCUAGUUGGAGAGGUAACGGCUCCCCAAGGCGACGAUAGAUAGGGGUUCUGAGAGGGAUGUCCCCCACACUGGUACUGAGAUACGGACCAGACUCCUACGGGAGGCAGCAGUGAGGAAUAUUGGACAAUGGUCGGAAGACUGAUCCAGCCAUGCCGCGUGCAGGAUGAAGGUCCUAUGGAUUGUAAACUGCUUUUGUAAGGGAAGAAUAAGGGGUACGUGUACUUUGAUGACGGUACCUUACGAAUAAGCAUCGGCUAACUCCGUGCCAGCAGCCGCGGUAAUACGGAGGAGGCGAGCGUUAUCCGGAAUCAUUGGGUUUAAAGGGUCCGUAGGCGGGCUGAUAAGUCAGAGGUGAAAGCGCUUAGCUCAACUAAGCAACUGCCUUUGAAACUGUCAGUCUUGAAUGAUUGUGAAGUAGUUGGAAUGUGUAGUGUAGCGGUGAAAUGCUUAGAUAUUACACAGAACACCGAUAGCGAAGGCAUAUUACUAACAAUUUAUUGACGCUGAUGGACGAAAGCGUGGGGAGCGAACAGG
rnacentral:rRNA from 1 species